rnacentral:misc_RNA from 1 species
GUCCGAUGUAUUUUUAUCUCAUGAGUUAUCUUAAUCUCUCUUUAAUCUAUUACUUUUGCUCCUUGAGCAUAAAGAAGAGAGUUGAAAUUAAUUGGUUCUACAAUGUUGCACUGUACACGGCUGCAUGAGUUGAUAGAUUGGUUGGCAUGAUGUCUACUGUUGUAGUCAAUUAACCAAUAUCAAGAACCCAGAAGUGUCAUGGCUAGUAUUAGAAGAAUAUAAUUUACUCAUUCUCUUUCUCUCUCUGUAUUAUGCAUAUAUAUAUAUAUUUUAGUUUUAAUUAAGAUAUGUACAGUUACUGCUUUAAUGAACUUAAUAUUUUGACGAUUCAUUUUGUUAGUUUGCACUUACUUUGUUAUGGCAACUUAUUUUAGUAACAUUUUUUGUCAAGACUUGGAGAUAAGCAUUGCUUAAUAAAAUAUUGAACAGCAGAAUCACCUUAACAUUGAGUUUCAUUUCUAUAAAAUAAUUUGCUGCCAUGAAUCCUGAUUAGGCGCAGAUAAUAGAAAGUGAUUCAAGGAAUUUUGCUUAUGGUCAUGAUGAUAAAAGAGAUUGAAGUCAUGAAAGUUCAUGAAAAACUUGACAGGAAAAACAUAACCAAUUUUAUUUGUUCUGAUGCUUGUGAGCUAAAGCAAGAGCUGAACACAAAUGUUAUGUUUAAAUUAUUAAAGAAAAGCUGGUCUCUCUCUGCCCAGUCUUUGUGGUGCAGUAGGAUGGGCAUAAUCUGCUAUCUUUGAGCCAUUACAAUUUUCCUACUGAUAACUUCAUAACAUUUGACACUGAAGGUCAUGUGAUCUGGGUUUAGAGUGAAAGAAAUGAGAGAUUUUUAUAAGUGCUAAGUUCCAUAUUCACCCGAAGUGUAGUUAUUUUAUGGUAUAAUCACUAUCCAUAUUCAAGUGUUGGCAAUGGCUGGCACAGUGAAAGACCCCUUAACUAUUACUACAUGUCCAAAUAUCUGUACUUAUAUUGCUACUGCUGCUAUUCUAAUUGAAUCCAACAUAACAGUAGUUUCUUUCACGUCUUCUCUUUUACUGGUUUAUUCUGAACAUUUCUUUCCUUGUGCGCCUCUUGAUCAUUCUUUGACAUUUGUUUAUUUGAAGCAGGAGCAAAAUGAAACAAUGCUAAUGGAUGGAGAGUUUGGAUUUGACGCAUACUCCCUCGGAUCAUGUUUGUGAGACUGCUAUAGCUGAAUUGUAGAGGAAAAACAGGGCAGACAAAAUCCCCAAGUCCACUCCUCAUCUGGAGGAAUUUGUACCAUCUUGUAACUUGUUCUACAUUUCAUUUUCUUUUAACCCCAUCUUCCCUUUUCCUGCCCUCUUCCCAAUAUACUUUCUUCUUCCCCUUUCUUUGUUAUUCUCUGUUACUAUGGUUAGUUCCUGCUUAAUAUUGAUAGCAGAAUUCCUAGUUUCUCAAUUCUUUCUUAAUCUCCUUUUUCUCAAUCUACUAUAGUUCAUCUUUCUUAACACUGUUUUGAGCUGAACUUGGGUUUAAUUCAUUUAUUUUUCAGAUAA